rnacentral:lncRNA from 1 species
AACACUUGUUCAUUUCGUGCCAAAGCGACCACAAACUCGCCACACAACAAGUCAGCCACCAAUGCCUUGAAGUACCCGAAAGUGGAAAAUGAAAGCAUUCCUCCAUAAAUAUUCGUAGAGACCUUUUGGUAAACAGCCAUAAAAACCCCACCAUGCCCAGAUUUUGUACCAAACACGUCUCACCAAAGAAGACGAAAAUAAUACAUGAUUCUAGUCUCGGUCUCCUUGCCACACCAAUUACACAUACUUGGAUCAAAUCGAAAUGUAUACCUCUUAGUUGUUUCUUAAGCCACAAAUUAGAAUUCCCCUUUUCUUUCAUCAUGUACCUAGCUUUGUUUUACACAAGUACAAUAAUUGUAAGCCGUAAUUUUGUAGAUGGUUUAGACAGCUGCCCAGAAAUUCAGCUGACGUUGCUAGAUUUACAUAUGAAAUUCCAAGCACCAUUGGCAAAUGGCAACCCUUAUUCUACCUUCUCCAAAUAGAAAACCCAAACAUUUCUCAGCCCUACUCCUCCUAUACCCCCCUAAAUUCUUUUACCUGCCAUCUUUCUUUUCUUCCAACUUAACACGCUACCCAUCCAUGUCCUCUUUCUUUGCUUCUAACGUUCUUAGUCCUCUCUUUAUCCACCACAAAUACAUCUCUUUAUUUCUCUUAAUACGAGAAAAGCAUGUUGUGUUAAUUAGUGUUCAAAUUUCAUUGUAUAAAUGUCAAGCAAAACAUAUGAGAAAAACAAAGAAGGAUUUGUAGGAAGACGUGUUUCCCAAUGCCACUUGAAAUGACAUCUUAUCAAGGAGAGACGAUCGAGAGAAACUGAGUAAAAGGAUUGCUUUUAUUAAUUACUUGGAUUUGGGUGUGGUUGAGUUAAGGGAAUCUAAGUGAUGGAGAUGACAGCUUUUUUGAAAACCUAAUAACUGUGGCCUGUGGGGUUCUUGUGGAUCGAGGUAAACAAACCACUUGCAUUAUAUUUCCCUUUUAGUCAUCUCCCUUUUUUAUGUUAUUUAAUUUC